GUGUUCACAUUGGCAGCACGUACACUAAAAUUGGAACAAUACGGUGAAGAUUAUCCUGUUCCCUGUACAAGGAUGACACACAAAUUCACGAAGCAUUCCAUAUUUAA
ensembl:snRNA U6 U6 spliceosomal RNA